GACAGAGGGUGCGAACGUUGUUCGGAAUUACUGGGCGUAAAGCGCGUGUAGGCGGCAGCGCAAGUCGGGCGUGAAAUCCCACGGCUCAACCGUGGAAGUGCACUUGAAACUGCGCAGCUAGAGUCCUGGAGAGGAAGGUGGAAUGCUUGGUGUAGAGGUGAAAUUCGUAGAUAUCAAGCGGAACACCGGUGGCGAAGGCGGCCUUCUGGACAGUGACUGACGCUGAGACGCGAAAGCGUGGGGAGCAAACAGG
rnacentral:rRNA from 1 species